rnacentral:rRNA from 1 species
UACGAAGGGGGCUAGCGUUGUUCGGAAUUACUGGGCGUAAAGCGCACGUAGGCGGAUUGUUAAGUCAGGGGUGAAAUCCCGGGGCUCAACCCCGGAACUGCCUUUGAUACUGGCAUUCUCGAGUCCGGAAGAGGUGAGUGGAAUUCCGAGUGUAGAGGUGAAAUUCGUAGAUAUUCGGAGGAACACCAGUGGCGAAGGCGGCUCACUGGUCCAUUACUGACGCUGAGGUGCGAAAGCGUGGGGAGCAAACAGG